CCAUGCACCGGGAGCCUGACGUGGAAUUUGAUCCCGGGUCUCCAGGAUCGCGCCCUGGGCCAAAGGCAGGCGCCAAACCGCUGCGCCACCCAGGGAUCCCCUGGAGGGCAUUCUUAUCCAAGAAAAAAGACAUUUGUACCUUGGUCCUGGUUAUGGGUAACCUAAGAUAAUUCUGUUUUGCUUACAGCUCAGGCCCUUCUAUAGGAUGGCAAGCCUUUAAAAAAAAUAUUUUUAAGAGAUUGGGAUUCCAAUAAUAAAGAGAAAAACACGAAAAGUACAAUAAAACUAGCUUUAGAUGAUAAAAUAUGUAUCAUAGGAUUUCAUUUAAUUAAAAAAAGCCAUAUUUGUACACAGAGGAAAGAUUGGAGGGUUAUACAUUGAAAUACUUUAUUUGAGAUUUGUUUAUUUUUAGAGAGAGCAUGCAUGCACAUGGAGGAGAGGGGCAGAGGGAGAGGGAGAGAGAAUCUCAAGCUGACUCUGCUGAGUAUGGACCUCCACACGGGACUUGAUCUCAUGACCCUAAGAUCACAACCUGAGCCAAAACCAAGAGUUGGACAUUUAAUCGACUGAGCCACCCAGCACGUGCCUCUGAAUGUGACCAGGAAGACUCUGACGCUGGCGUUGUCUGUCACUCAGCAUCAAGACCAUAAAGAAGUUCUGUGGGAAUAUGGAAGAUCUGUGUCAGAACCGUCUAUGCCACCAGUGAUUUAGGGUGACUGUGGUGUGAGAGUGGACCCAGGAGGGCAGAUGAGCUAGCUGCCACCAGGAAGAGCUCCUAGAACCCUCGAGAUAAAAGCACAGGUUCCUUGCCAAGAGGUGAGAUGGGAAUUAACCCGGAAACAGGACAGCAGCUCACAGGAAGGGAUGCCUGCCUCUACUGGACCUUGUUAACCUUAAAAAUAAUGCUGUCAGGACGCCUGGCUGGCUCAGUGGUUGAGCAUCUGCCUUUGGCUCAGGUCAUGAUUCCAGGCUCCUGCGAUCGAGUCCCACAUCUGCUCCCUGUAGGGAGCCUGCUUCUCCCUCUGUCUAUGUCUCUGCCUCUUUCUGUGUGUCUC